ensembl:lncRNA
CUCUACAGAAGUCUUUUUCCUACUUUUUUCCAUCAUUCACUCACUUUUAAGAGGUUGAUGCCUUCUGUGUCUCUUGGAUUCCCCCAUUUCCUAGUUUAAGUAUUUCCCUAUGCCCUCACAUGAGUCCAUUUGGAUUAAACAUAACCCAUGUUUCCUGUACAGGUUCUUCAAAUCCCAGAAAGUUCCCCAGAUUUUUAAGCAUUUUUAAGUCCCUCUUCCCAAGGCCACCACCUCAUCCCUAACGAGACUCUAGAUCUCCAUGUGCCUUUGAGGAUUCAUGUUUAACAGUUCUGUGGAGAAUGCUAGGACGGAGGUAGUAGCACCUUGAAUACAGCUAUCAGAACUGCUUUUCAGCUAUUGAUACCAAUGGACCUAAAACGCUGGAUCUUGUGUUGGAUAUCUGUACAAUUUACCUUCUGAGGUCUAAGAUUCCUCUAUUUCCGUCCAAUAGAAAGUGAGUUCCAUAGUAAGAGAGGACCAUGUGGUCUUCUUACGUCACAAACACAGAUGUCCCUGUACCUUACAACUGAAUCUCAUCUUCCUGCUGCUUCCUGUCCCUGAAGAUCUGCUGUACCACAGCACCAACAUCCUAAGUGCUGAGGGAACCAGAUGGACCUGACUACAGCAGCCUUCCACUGAUCAUCAUCUCUCCCAAACACUUUUCUGCACAUAUUUACACAUGACCUCAUGAAGUGACAAAGAUGUCUUCCUCUAGAAGAUGUCAUCCUCCGCAAAAUGGUGUCAGCUGUUGUCCUAGCACCAGUAUGAUACUGGCCAUAUUCUGUAAAUCUUAUGAAGACCUUCAGAAGUUCUUUGAUGCACUACAGUCACUGUCCUUGUUGGUCUAAUAUGCAGGUAUUUCUCAGUUACAGUGCAUUAAACAGCUAGCUAAACGAGUUCUGCUAGCAAGUACAGCCAGCUUGCUGCCCAGAAUCCCCCACCCCACUGCAGAAUGCACCCGCACUGAUGCUGAUCACCUUGGUGAGAUGUUUAAAUCAUUAUAAUAAGCAAUGGGAUGUCUAAAUCAUUAU